UGUUAAAAAUUUCAUCCAUUUCUUCUGUUAAAAACUGACGUAGCUAAUAGAAUAACCAAACAGUUCCAUAUGGCAUGCCACGUCUACCUCAUGAUAACGUAUGGGGACCAGAUUUUAACAUUAUAAAUGGAUGGAAUUUAUAACA
rfam:Gossypium raimondii Chr10_contig_36, whole genome shotgun sequence.